AUGAAAAAAGCCACAAACACCAGAAGAACAUCCAGUAAUGUAAUGAACCAAGAGACAGAAGAAUAUGAACCUCCAAGCAUUUCUAGCAAACAUGUUGCACCUUCAUUUUGUGGAAAAUAUGACAAUUAUUAUCUGUCUGCAACAAGAUACACUUCUAAAUCUAAAAAGAAACCUGCUUGUGAAUGUUUUGUACAGAUGUGCACCCACAGAGCAACCAUCUCUGGUAACUCAGGAAAUGAUCAUGAGAAGCAAAUGCCAUCAAAUGCAGGCAGGAGUGGAGCUGGUAGACCUAACCAUACCGAUCCCUACUGGGGCCCUUCAAUUGCUGGCAUAGUGUUUGAUUUCAGUACGCUGUCUCCAAAGGAGCCCCUGGUUCUACCACACCAAACCCAGCGAAGGAAAAAACACCAGCGGCUCCAAAGAGAAAAUCAGUCAGCCACCACCAUUCAGGCUGUGUGGAGAGGCUAUCGAGUCCGGAGGGAAGUGGAUGAAAUGAAUAAGGCCGCUACCAGGAUUCAGGCGGCUUAUCGAAGCCACAGGACGCGGCAGCAAUUGCCCCUCGCGUUUUACAGUUACUUUGGCCAUAAAAAAUUUGCACUGAAUCGGAAGAAGGAAGCAGAAAGCAAGGCGAUGGCAGGCCCUGCCGUCUCAAAGUGCCACCCGUACCGGGGUAGGGGCCUCCAGGCACCAGGUGAUACCAGUGAGAAUGAGAGUCUGAGAGCUCCACACAGAGAGAGACACGACCCAAGCUCUUUUGUUAUCCCCAGAGCGCUCAUCUUCAAAAGAGAGUCUUCUCUUACGCUCAGCAAUGAAGUUUUGGCCCCUGCUAACAGGCCCUCACCUGCCUGUGAAGUCUUCCAGGCCUUGGCACCUGAGCAGCAAAACCAUGAUGCUGCAGAUAACAUCCAGGCUGCAAGGAGAGGGAACCAAAGCAGAAAGGAGCUUAGUAAAAUGGCAAGACAGGCCACAAAGACAGCAGAGCAGAGCCAGAUCUUGGCUUACAGUAAUCAAUGCAGACCAAACAGUCAUGAAAAUUAUCAAAUUUCACGGGCAUUUAAUGACGCCAACAUUCAGGUGUUGACCCAGGAGCCCCAAGACGUGGUGCAAUAUCCUGAACUGGACCCUGUUGUAAUGUUGGGACUGAGUAAGGGAAGCAGAGAGUCUAAUGCAGAGGGCAAUGCACCGUCUAUUAGAAAUGUUAACGUAUACAGUGCUGAAGAACAUGCCGGCCUCCAGAAGGUCCUCAAUCUCCCUCCAGGUGUCCAGCCCCAAUGCAACAGUGGAAGGAUUUCAGAGGGGAACAGGCAGAGUGCAGCUGCGUGGGCUGUACACCGUCAGAAGACACAGCGGCUCGAAGCCUUCUCAAGUCUGCAUUCAAGUAAACGUGGUGGAAAUGGGAAUGACAGCGGGUAG
rnacentral:lncRNA from 1 species